CCUACGGGAGGCAGCAGUAGGGAAUAUUGCUCAAUGGGGGAAACCCUGAAGCAGCAACGCCGCGUGGAGGAUGAAGGUUUUCGGAUUGUUAACUCCUUUUGUUAGAGAAGAUAAUGACGGUAUCUAACGAAUAAGCACCGUCUAACUCCGUGCCACCAGCGGCGGUAAUACGGAGGGUGCAACCGUUACUCGGAAUCACUGGGCGUAAAGAGCGCGUAGGCGGGAUAGCAAGUCAGAUGUGAAAUCCUAUGGCUUAACCAUAGAACAGCAUUUGAAACUGUUAUUCUAGAGUAUGGGAGAGGUAGGUGGAAUGCUUGGUGUAGGGGUAAAAUGCGUAGAGAUCAAGAAGAAUACUCAUUGCGAAGGCGACCUGCUAGAACAUAACUGACGCUGAUGCGCGAAAGCGUGGGGAGCGAACAGGAUUAGAUACCCUAGUAGUC
rnacentral:rRNA from 1 species